AAAGCAUGGCUUUCAGUACAAGAAGUGUGAUAUUUGCACACUAUUACCAUGUAGGAGAAUUCACAAUUUUGAGAUGCAGUUCGACGUGCUUGUUAAUUUACUGCAAGUAACUAGUGCAGUUUUUCAGGGUCUCUGAGGAGAUGGUCAAAUGGCCUGUGGCUGCAAAAGCUAUAGGUUUCAUGUUGGGGAUCAGUUUUUCCAUCAUUCGUGGGUGUUUCCAUCUCCUAAUGCCAGAAUUAUGGAUGCAUCAAGACAGUUUGAUGAUCUGGUGGCAGUAUGUGGUGUUUGCUACACAUGGAUCUUGCAUGUUGAGGCAAUUAUACUGUGUCUGAAAGUGUAAUCUGAUGCACUUGAUGUGGAUUUGGCAGAUGUCUUAAGUCAAUGAGGUGCAGUAAGUCCAGCUGUAUUCACCAUGAUCCCGGUUCCUGGUUCAUCUUGGGAGGUUUUCCUGUGGUGCUGAUCUUCGCAUUGGAUUUAAAUAAAGUUCUUCGGUAAUCUUGUAUGGCAGUAUGUAUUUAACUGUUCUUGUGGAAUACAUGAAUUUGCCG